rnacentral:rRNA from 1 species
GUCUAACCUGCCCACUGAUAUUUAAAUGGCCGCAGUAUCCUAACUGUGCAAAGGUAGCAUAAUCAUUAGUCUUUUAAUUGAAGGCUGGAAUGAAUGGUUGAAUGAGGCAUUAACUGUUUCAUGAAAAUUUAUGUAGAAUUUUAUUUUUUAGUUAAAAAGCUAAAAUAUCUUUAAAAGACGAGAAGACCCUAUAAAUCUUUAUAUUUAUUUUACAUUAAUUAUGAAGAAAAAUUUUUUUAUAGUAAAUUAUUUAUUUUAUUGGGGUGAUAGUUGAAUUUAUAAAACUUUAAUAAUUAUUUUACAUUGAUUAUUGAAUUUUUGAUCCAUAAAUUAUGAUUAGAAAAUUAAGUUACUUUAGGGAUAACAGCGUAAUUUUUUUAGAGAGUUCACAUUAAUAAAAAAGAUUGCGACCUCGAUGUUGGGAUUAAAAUAUAAAAUUUGGUGCAGAAGCUAAAUUUUU